GGGGAUUUAGCUCAGUGGUAGAGCACUUGCCUAGCAUGCACAAGGUCCUGGUUCAGUCCCCA
rnacentral:tRNA from 1 species